GAGUGGUGAGAUACGCAGAGCGGUGAGACACGCAGAGCCGCAGAGCGGUGAUACACGCAGAGUGGUGAGACAGGCAGAGCUGUGGAGUUGUGAGCCAACAGGAGUUACGGGCUUGCAGACGAUCGUGGACUACAAAGGGAGACCCAGCUGCCCAGUGACGGGACCUUACCAGACAAGCUAAAUGCCUUCUAUGCUCACUUCCAUGGCAAGCAACACUGAACCAUGCAUGAGAGCACCAGCUGUUCCGGAAGACUGUGUGACCAUGCUGUCCACAGCCGAUAGGUUAACCUGACAUGUGUGACGUGACGCGUGAGUGAAGGACACCCACGCACUCAGAAAGCAGAACACAGCCAAUUAUCUCCC